rnacentral:lncRNA from 1 species
CCUAUGAGAUGGGCAGGGGAAUUUCUUUCCUGCCAUUCUGCCUAUGGGGACACAGAGACCUUGGAAUGUCAAGUGACUUCUCUGAGGCUACACGGCUAGGAGGUGGCAAAAGCAGGAAGGAACUGGAGCUAAUGUCUGCAUCUACAUCAUGAUUGGCCCAAGACACUAGCACCCUCAACCCCCAAGCUUUCUAUGUGGUAUUGGCAAGACAGCUCACUGCUGGAGAAACCAAUCCUGGAGGAAAUUCUGCCAUGAACAGGGAGCCUCACUCCCUCAACAGUGAUGAAUGACUUUCAUAAACAUGAAUAGUUUCUGAGAAGGUGUCCUCUUGCCUGGGGUCCUACUUCAGAUGGCCAAGUCAGAAGGACAUAAUCCCACUGCUGGGAAAUCCAGGCCAGGUCAGACUCCAUAACAUGCUUUAAAAUGUGAGAGCCCCAGUCUGCUAGCAUGGUCUCAGAGAUGGAGGGAGCCACAGCCUCUGAGUAGAUCCUGACCCAGCAUUCCAUGGCAGUAUCCUUUGGAAAGAAACUUUCACCAAACCUGAUGGGAACCUCUCCUCAAGGACUGCUAAGUCAGGAAAUGGGGUAUGCAGGGUCUGGAAGUUGGAAGCUGGCCGCAUCCCCCAAAUGAGCAGGUCCAAGACACUUAUUCAUACAUCAGGAAAACCAGGGUCCAGAGAUGGAGAGAAAUCCAAGGCUUGGAGCCACUUGGAUGGUCACCCAGGGCCAUCAGCAUCUACUAGCCAGGAGGAGGCUGGGACAUUCGGGAGGCAAUGGAGAGAAGGAAAUAGAAGGAAGAGGGCUGGGGCUCCCAGCAGUCUAAUUACAGGGUCCCAAGGCCCAGCAGUCUUUCAGGGAGAAAAAUCGGUCGGACUUGGACAAAUCAGCUGCACAGUGUUAACCUUCCAGAGACUGAACUCUCUCCCCAUUUCCAGGAAUCUAAUCUUUGAUGUAUCUUUGAAUAACUUUAAAAAAAAUAAAUCCUGAAUAAUCUUA